rnacentral:tRNA from 1 species
UGGGAUAUUGUGUAAAGGUAGCACAGCAGACUCUGACUCUGUAUGUUGGGGUUCGAAUCCCUAUAUCCCAGCCA